rnacentral:rRNA from 1 species
AUGAAAACUCCAUUUGAACUCUUGCUUGGUCAGACUCCUGAUUACACGUUUCUUAAAGUGUUCAGUUGUGCGUGUUGGCCGCAUCUCCGUGCGUAUAAUAAUCGCAAGCUUGAGUUCCGUUCAAAGAAGUGUGUCUUUCUGGGGUAUAGUUCUGUUCACAAAGGGUAUAAGUGCCUUCAUGUCCCGUCUAAUCGUGUGUAUAUCUCCCGAGAUGUUGUUUUUGAUGAGCACGUUUUUCCCUUUGCUGCUCUUCCCUCACCUGACACAAGCUCCACACCGCCAGUGCACCCAUCCACUAUAUUGCCUAAUCAAUUUGUAGAUGAUGCACAUUCGCCCUCUUUGUUGUCUAACCAUGGUGCAGGUAUUGGGAGAUGUGCGUGGUUGGAGCUCCUGGAUGAGGUUGACACUCCGGCUCCCUUGUCCCCGAUGGCUACGUCGUCACCGCCCGCUCACGUCGAUCGGCUGGCUUCGUGCAUGUCCCAUGCAACGAGCCAGCCUGCGCCCGUGACCACGGCUGCUGCACCGCGCGUCACCACUCCGGCCCAACCGCCGCUUCUGCUGACUGGCGCGUCGGCCCAGCGGGCCGUCCCGUCUGCGCCGGCGUCACUGCCAUCGACACCUGGGCCGUCCUCGCCUGGGAGUCCCCCGCCGCCUGGGCCGUCACCUGCAUCGACGCAUGGGCCGUCCCCUCCUGGGAGUCCCCCGUCCUCCUCGUCGCCUGUGUGGCACUUGUCCCGCUCGCCUGGAUCGGCGUCGCCCUCGAGUGGGUCGGCGUCUCCUGCUGUGUCUUCCUCGUCACCGCCACCGACUGCAUCAGCCUCUGCCAUGACGGAUGCUGCAUCCACUUCAUCAUCCUCACCGUCGGUUUCGCCACCUGCUCCGCCCCCUGUGUUGCGUCCUCAUACAUGCAGCAAAAGUGGGGUGUUUCGUCCUAAGGAACGCAAGGAUGGCACGGUGGCCUGGCUUGCAACUUGCAUGGCGUAG